rnacentral:rRNA from 1 species
UACAUGGGGUGCAAACGUUGCUCGGAAUUAUUGGGCGUAAAGGGCUCGUAGGCGGUCCGUCACGUCGGGAGUGAAAACUCGGGGCUCAACCCCGAGCCUGCUUUCGAUACGGGCGGACUAGAGGUAGGUAGGGGAGAACGGAAUUCCUGGUGUAGCGGUGGAAUGCGCAGAUAUCAGGAGGAACACCGGUGGCGAAGGCGGUUCUCUGGGCCUUACCUGACGCUGAGGCACGAAGGCCAGGGGAGCAAACGGG